UACGUAGGGUGCGAGCGUUAAUCGGAAUUACUGGGCGUAAAGCGUGCGCAGGCGGCUUCUCAAGUCAGGGGUGAAAGCCCAGAGCUCAACUCUGGAACUGCCUUUGAGACUGAGAGGCUUGAGUACGGGAGAGGUGAGUGGAAUUCCCAGUGUAGAGGUGAAAUUCGUAGAUAUUGGGAAGAACACCGGUGGCGAAGGCGGCUCACUGGCCCGAAACUGACGCUCAUGCACGACAGCGUGGGGAUCAAACAGG
rnacentral:rRNA from 1 species